CCCCCUUUCUGCGUGUUCACAGCGGACCUUGAUUUAAAUGUCCAUACAAUUAAGGCACGCGGUGAAUGCUAAGGACGAGGCU
rnacentral:pre_miRNA from 1 species